GCACUGGUAUGUUUGUCUGGAAAAAGUCGGUUCCUUAGGAGCAUGAAAACCACACUGCAGUCUGAGCUGACGACCUUAAGAGUAGAGGGGAGCAAUGAACAGCCCUUGUCCCUGUGAGGGUGAGGGGCUGUGCCUAGUCAAUGUGGACCAGCCACUGCAGGUUGAAAUGAGCAUCGAAUACUGUCCUUCAUCUACUCACUGAGGGCAACAGAAUUUGUCUGAAAUUGUGGUAGAAUUAUGGCAAUUACCCUUCAACUCUGUGCUAACCCUCUUGUUCCUGCUCUCACGGUUAGUUUUUUUUUUUUUUUUUGCAAGCGGUUUGGCCACAAAGGGAAUAAAGAAAGAUCCUCCCAUUUUCCUAAUGUCUGCACGAAAAUCAGAUCUACAAAGAACUCUCAGAAGAAGACCUAAAGAGAGAGGCAAAGUGACUAUGGCACGUAUGGGGAGAAGAAAGGGUAACUACUGCAGUCUGCAAACAGCAGUCACACCCAACCAGUCUUAUUUAACAAAACUAUUCUAGUGGCAGAGAAGCAUUUAGCACCUUAGUGAACCAUCAUUCUCCUUUAAAAAUAUAUACAUUUUUAUUAUAGGCCUGUGUCUGUUCAGUCCUAGCUUCUAGACUUUGACUGAAGACGUUAUGCCUCUACUUGUUUGAUUGAAAGAAACGUACAGUACUACUGGGAAUGCUCUCCAAACACAGGGACUGACAGGCUGUGAACAACCACUGUUUAAGCUUUUAUUGUGUUAAUCGGUGUCAUUUCUCAAGUGCCUCUUCACGGAAGGACAACUUUCAAGACAAGGAUUGUUCUUGACACUUCUUUGCUGGUAUCUGCUUUGAAGUGUACACAUCAAAACUGGACAGAGAUUUCCAGGAAUGGAAAUAGGGCACAGAGGACCAUUUCCAGAGAUUUCAACAUCUGUGCUUUGCCUUCUGACAUCACCUUGAGAACUCACUAAGGACUGCAGCUGCUGCCAUCGAACCAGUAUGGUGCGUUACUUUCAUAGAAACAGGGUCCAAUAUCCCAUGUGUUUUUGUUGCUCCCUCCCCACCCCCCUUUUUUUUAUACAUGAACUAUAUGGUACGUGAACUAUAUUAAAUAUUUUAUGAGGGCUGCUCCGAAAGUAAUGCCUGCUAUUUUAUUGUAUUGGCCCAUAGUGUCAGAGGCAGAUGUUGGUGGUACGGCAGCAGAUGUUGGACCUUCCCACCAGUAUUUCAUCAUGUUUUGUUGCCGUGCGUCAGAUGGCAGCAGAGGGGCAGUCUGACUAAACGAUGUCUGCCAUGGAAGUGCCUAUGAAGCAAAGUUAUGUCACCAAAUUCCUCCAUAUGGAAAAACUGUCACCCACUGACAUUCAUCGAUGAGUGGAGCCAGCUUUGCUUGGAAGCUCCAAUGAAGAUCUCUUGCCUCUCUGGAAGCCUCAGCAUGCUCUCUCUUUGAGGCUGUUGGACACGAAGAGAGGAGAAAGUGUAUGUGCAGACUGCUGGGCAUAGGGUCUCUCAGUCCCCACCUCACUGUGAGAAACAUGGUGACUGGUAAAUCACGUGUGAGAGAACUCGGUGUUCAUCUCCCACAGUUCACAGUGCUGCUAUGGCUCUUUUCUUCAUGAGGAAAGCACCAAAGAAGAAAUGUGUCGUCUGCUUUCACAAGGAGCUUUCUGGGAGCUUCCUGAUUGACUUUCUAUUGUCAGAGAAAGGUGGGGAAGGUCACCUGCUGAGCAGGCGGGACAGAAGGGACAGACCCACAGCCCUUUCCUUCCUCUCCAGUGGGUGGCAUGCCCAAUCACUGAGCUGGCAAGGCAGGAGCAUUGCUGGCCAGUGCUGUCUGCAGCCACAAGAUGAGUGUGUGUACAGUGAUAGCUGUGCUAGCUACAGGAUCUUUUCUCCUGUGUGCAAGAUACUCCUCUCAUCACAGAGACAAAAUGCUACCAGUGCUCAGUGGAUUGCAGAAAUGUUCUCAGCAGAUUUUGGGCUUCAUGCAUCCUCCCAGUGCACUGAGUAGCAGAGAUUUUUCUUUUCUCUUCAGAAAGUCUGCAUUCACGAUUUGAAGAAUACUUUUAUUUCAUCCCAGUGAAUCAACGUCUUGUUUACGAGGCAGAUUAAAGAUACCUCAGAGCAGAGUUCUUUCCAUAUUGUUUGAGAAAAUGUGGUUAUGGACCACCAGCAUUCACUGGCCCUCCAGCAGCCAGAAUUUUCUGCUAUUUUGCAAAGAUAAUGGGAAAAGUACAGAAUUUGCUACUAUUGGCAAAAUCCUGCUCCAUCUUAUUAAGUAUGGACAGGACAUGAAAGUAGUUGGUAAUAAACACAAUAUGUGAGUUCUUUAAAGCUGAUCUAGUAAGAUCUUAGAGUUUAGAAAAACAAAACACCCAGAACAAAAGCCUGUCUGACAACUUAAUAGCAUUAUUGGGUUUAAAGUAUUUGAGACCAUCCAAACAAGUACCUGUACCAUUUACCUUCCAAGUGAGAAUACAAUCUCCAAAGAGAGCAGUUAGAUUAGUUAAAUUUCCUUCAAGCCCUCACAUUCUGCUAUCAUGUGUUGGAAACAGUUAAUUGUGUGGAAAUACAGGAAGGUUUUGGUGUAACCUCAAAAGUUCAGUGUCAUUGACACUGGACAAUUGUUCCAGCAAUGAACAGACUUAGUCCUGGGAAAUGCAGUCAACUGCUCAAGGAAGAAUUUGCUUGUUGCAGAUGUUCGUACAUUGCUGUAUGAAACUUGAACUAGCCUGUUACUACUCUCCAACUGUUUGAAAAAGUAGGUGAUUGUGGGUGGGGACUGAGGUGGAAAGUCUAACAGGGUGCUGAUAUCAUAACGCCUCCACAAGCCUGUUAACUUUAACUCUUGGACUUUGUAAUGCAGUCUGCAGAAACUGUAUUUUAUCAUUCUUGCCCCUUGAUAAUAUUGUGUACCCCCCCCCCCCCCAAAAAAAAAAAAAAAAAAAAAAAAAGUGAGUGGCAAUUAUCUGUAGUGUGGUGGAACUCUUCCUGCCAGAAAAGGCAAUAGUUUCUGCUCCAAUUGAAGUUAAAGCCACUGUACUCCAAAUCUCCAUUCAACACCCUCACUCAGUGUCCUGACCACAGUCAGAGGUCUGAAGGGUUUCUAUAAAACCAAGAAUUAUGUUCUCUGCAUGGAAGUGAUCCUCAGAGGUUGCCUCUCCCCAUACUGUCCUUUCAUACAGAACAUACAGGCAUACAGAACAGAUGCCUCAGGCAUCCAGCCUGUAGGUCUUUGCCUUGUUUGUCCUAGACCUAUCUCAGAUUGCCAU
ensembl:lncRNA